rnacentral:rRNA from 1 species
GAUGAACGCUGGCGGCGUGCCUAAUACAUGCAAGUCGAGCGAACGGACGAGAAGCUUGCUUCUCUGAUGUUAGCGGCGGACGGGUGAGUAACACGUGGAUAACCUACCUAUAAGACUGGGAUAACUUCGGGAAACCGGAGCUAAUACCGGAUAAUAUUUUGAACCGCAUGGUUCAAAAGUGAAAGACGGUCUUGCUGUCACUUAUAGAUGGAUCCGCGCUGCAUUAGCUAGUUGGUAAGGUAACGGCUUACCAAGGCAACGAUGCAUAGCCGACCUGAGAGGGUGAUCGGCCACACUGGAACUGAGACACGGUCCAGACUCCUACGGGAGGCAGCAGUAGGGAAUCUUCCGCAAUGGGCGAAAGCCUGACGGAGCAACGCCGCGUGAGUGAUGAAGGUCUUCGGAUCGUAAAACUCUGUUAUUAGGGAAGAACAUAUGUGUAAGUAACUGUGCACAUCUUGACGGUACCUAAUCAGAAAGCCACGGCUAACUACGUGCCAGCAGCCGCGGUAAUACGUANGUGGCAAGCGUUAUCCGGAAUUUAUGGGCGUAAAGCGCGCGUAGGCGGUUUUUUAGUCUGAUGUGAAAGCCCACGGCUCAACCGUGGAGGGUCAUUGGAAACUGGAAAACUUGAGUGCAGAAGAGGAAAGUGGAAUUCCAUGUGUAGCGGUGAAAUGCGCAGAGAUAUGGAGGAACACCAGUGGCGAAGGCGACUUUCUGGUCUGUAACUGACGCUGAUGUGCGAAAGCGUGGGGAUCAAACAGGAUUAGAUACCCUGGUAGUCCACGCCGUAAACGAUGAGUGCUAAGUGUUAGGGGGUUUCCGCCCCUUAGUGCUGCAGCUAACGCAUUAAGCACUCCGCCUGGGGAGUACGACCGCAAGGUUGAAACUCAAAGAAAUUGACGGGGACCCGCACAAGCGGUGGAGCAUGUGGUUUAAUUCGAAGCAACGCGAAGAACCUUACCAAAUCUUGACAUCCUUUGACAACUCUAGAGAUAGAGCCUUCCCCUUCGGGGGACAAAGUGACAGGUGGUGCAUGGUUGUCGUCAGCUCGUGUCGUGAGAUGUUGGGUUAAGUCCCGCAACGAGCGCAACCCUUAAGCUUAGUUGCCAUCAUUAAGUUGGGCACUCUAAGUUGACUGCCGGUGACAAACCGGAGGAAGGUGGGGAUGACGUCAAAUCAUCAUGCCCCUUAUGAUUUGGGCUACACACGUGCUACAAUGGACAAUACAAAGGGCAGCGAAACCGCGAGGUCAAGCAAAUCCCAUAAAGUUGUUCUCAGUUCGGAUUGUAGUCUGCAACUCGACUACAUGAAGCUGGAAUCGCUAGUAAUCGUAGAUCAGCAUGCUACGGUGAAUACGUUCCCGGGUCU